rnacentral:rRNA from 1 species
UACGAAGGGGGCUAGCGUUGUUCGGAUUUACUGGGCGUAAAGCGCACGUAGGCGGGUUGUUAAGUCAGGGGUGAAAUCCUGGAGCUCAACUCCAGAACUGCCUUUGAUACUGGCAACCUAGAGGCUGGAAGAGGUUAGUGGAAUUCCCAGUGUAGAGGUGAAAUUCGUAGAUAUUGGGAAGAACACCAGUGGCGAAGGCGGCUAACUGGUCCAGAUCUGACGCUGAGGCGCGAAAGCGUGGGGAGCAAACAGG